rnacentral:rRNA from 1 species
GAUGAACGCUGGCGGCGUGCCUAAUACAUGCCAGUCGAGCGAACAGACGAGGAGCUUGCUCCUCUGACGUUAGCGGCGGACGGGUGAGUAACACGUGGAUAACCUACCUAUAAGACUGGGAUAACUUCGGGAAACCGGAGCUAAUACCGGAUAAUAUAUUGAACCGCAUGGUUCAAUAGUGAAAGGCGGUUUUGCUGUCACUUAUAGAUGGAUCCGCGCCGCAUUAGCUAGUUGGUAAGGUAACGGCUUACCAAGGCAACGAUGCGUAGCCGACCUGAGAGGGUGCUCGGCCACACUGGAACUGAGACACGGUCCAGACUCCUACGGGAGGCAGCAGUAGGGAAUCUUCCGCAAUGGGCGAAAGCCUGACGGAGCAACGCCGCGUGAGUGAUGAAGGUCUUCGGAUCGUAAAACUCUGUUAUUAGGGAAGAACAAAUGUGUAAGUAACUAUGCACGUCUUGACGGUACCUAAUCAGAAAGCCACGGCUAACUACGUG